rnacentral:sRNA from 1 species
ACCUGUUGCGGGCGGCGGCGAGAGAUGCCCGCAACACCAGACAGAACACCGUGCCACGGGAACAACGGGGCACUUCAGGGCGUU